rnacentral:rRNA from 1 species
UACAGAGGUCCCAAGCGUUGUUCGGAUUCACUGGGCGUAAAGGGUGCGUAGGUGGUCGGGUAAGUCUGACGUGAAAUCUCCGAGCUCAACUCGGAAAAUGCGUUCGAUACUAUUCGGCUUGAGGGUUGGAGGGGAGACUGGAAUACUUGGUGUAGCAGUGAAAUGCGUAGAUAUCAAGUGGAACACCAGUGGCGAAGGCGAGUCUCUGGACAACUCCUGACACUGAGGCACGAAAGCUAGGGGAGCAAACAGG